GAUGAACGCUAGCGGCAGGCUUAAUACAUGCAAGUCGUGGGGCAGCAGGUUUGUAGCAAUACAGAUGCUGGCGACCGGCAAACGGGUGCGGAACACGUACAGAACCUUCCUUUGAGCGGGGAAUAGCCCAGAGAAAUUUGGAUUAAUACCCCAUAGUAUAAUGAAGUGGCAUCACUUUAUUAUUAAAGAUUUAUCACUCGAAGAUGGCUGUGCGGCUGAUUAGGUAGUUGGCGGGGUAAAGGCCCACCGAGCCUGCGAUCAGUAACUGGUGUGAGAGCACGUCCAGUCACACGGGCACUGAGACACGGGCCCGACUCCUACGGGAGGCAGCAGUAAGGAAUAUUGGUCAAUGGAGGCAACUCUGAACCAGCCAUGCCGCGUGGAGGAUGAAGGUCCUCUGGAUUGUAAACUUCUUUUAUAUGGGACGAAAAAAGGCUUUUCUAAGUCGUCUGACGGUACCAUAUGAAUAAGCACCGGCUAACUCCGUGCCAGCAGCCGC
rnacentral:rRNA from 1 species